AUUGAACGCUGGCGGCAGGCUUAACACAUGCAAGUCGAGCGGAGAUGAGGUGCUUGCACCUUAUCUUAGCGGCGGACGGGUGAGUAAUGCUUAGGAAUCUGCCAUUUAGUGGGGGACAACAUUCCGAAAGGAAUGCUAAUACCGCAUACGUCCUACGGGAGAAAGCAGGGGAUCUUCGGACCUUGCGCUAAAUGAUGAGCCUAAGUCGGAUUAGCUAGUUGGUGGGGUAAAGGCCUACCAAGGCGACGAUCUGUAGCGGGUCUGAGAGGAUGAUCCGCCACACUGGGACUGAGACACGGCCCAGACUCCUACGGGAGGCAGCAGUGGGGAAUAUUGGACAAUGGGCGGAAGCCUGAUCCAGCCAUGCCGCGUGUGUGAAGAAGGCCUUUUGGUUGUAAAGCACUUUAAGCGAGGAGGAGGCUACUAGUACUAAUACUACUGGAUAGUGGACGUUGCUCGCAGAAUAAGCACCGGCUAACUCUGUGCCAGCCGCCGCGGUAAUAC
rnacentral:rRNA from 1 species